GUAGGAUUGAAGCAACAUUGAUUUAGUUCUCACUUGAUUCUAUCUAAUAUUUGAAAUAAUAUGCUAGUUCAUGCUAAUGCCAUCAAAUUAUUCCUAGCAUUGGAAUUAAUAGCAUUUCAUAAGCUUCUAAGAUUUAAAAAUUUAGAAAUUUUGUAAUAUUCAAAGACAAAUGGUGAAAUUGAUUUUUGUCAAAUUCUAACAAUAUCCAAUAUUAUGGCUUAAUGCUCUUCAAGUCCUUUGCAGCUUCUUUGAAUACAAUCCAAACUUUUGAGAAUUUGAUGUUAAAAUUUGGAAUAGUUAGUGCUCGUAUUAUUAUCUAAAGAUAUUGUAUAUGUAUUGAGUUUUUGAAUUGCUAUUGUAAAUUCUCAAUUAAAUGGCAAAUAAAAAAUGCAUAUUUGCAUGUUAAAAAUGUUUGAUUGACAAUAUCAUUAAAACCUUUCUAUUGAUCAAAAAUAAAUGUGAAUUUUACAAAUUUAUUGUUCAAUGGAUGGAAUGCAAGAAUUUUUAUCUUCAAAUUUUUUAAAAACCACAGCCAAUUAUUAUCAUUUUUAAUAUUCACAAUGCUAAAUUUAAUAAAAAAUAGUUGCUCUUUUAUAUUAAUUGUUAUAGCAGCAAGAAAUAUCUCAUAAUAUUCUCCUUUCCAAUGCAUGUUAU
rnacentral:lncRNA from 1 species